CUCUCAUGUCCCAUGCCCUGCAUUUGAUGGCAUCACAAGGAGUGAGGAUCAGGGAGGUUAAGCCAUCACCUGACUGGUCACAAAAGGCUGGUAUAGGUGCUGUCCUCCCAAGUCUAGCUGCAGUCUACUCACACUGCCUCCUCACUUCAUCACAUCUACCUCUCACCCCAGACUCACCACACUCCAGUUAACCGAAUGACUUUGGCAGCCAAGAAUUUACCUUCUCUCUGGGCAACUUCUACAAACCUGGAUCAUUAUUCCUAACACAAAUUUCUCCUGCUACUACAUAUGAUCUUCUUUAAUAUUCAAAAGAAUUAAUAACAGAUGUUUCCAGUAAAGAAUAUUGGAGAAGGAUUACCUCGUGAUGACCAUGUGCUAGAUUCCUGUUUAAAAAUCCCUAUUUCCAG